UACGGGGGGGGCAAGCGUUGUUCGGAAUUACUGGGCGUAAAGGGCUCGUAGGCGGCCAACUAAGUCGGAUGUGAAAUCCCCAAGCUUAACUUGGGAACUGCAUCCGAUACUGGAUGGCUUGAAUCCGGGAGAGGGAUGCAGAAUUCCAGGUGUAGCGGUGAAAUGCGUAGAUAUCUGGAGGAAUACCGGUGGCGAAGGCGACUUCCUGGCCUGUUCUUGACGCUGAGGCGCGAAAGCUAGGGGAGCAAACGGG
rnacentral:rRNA from 1 species